GACGAACGCUGGCGGCGUGCUUAACACAUGCAAGUCGAACGGAAAGGCCCUGCUUUUGCGGGGUGCUCGAGUGGCGAACGGGUGAGUAACACGUGAGGAGCCUCCCCUUGACUUUGGGAUAACUUCAGGAAACUGGGGCUAAUACCGGAUAGGAGCUCCUGCUGCAUGUUGGGGGUUGGAAAGUUUCGGCGGUUGUGGAUGGACUCGCGGCUUAUCAGCUUGUUGGUGGGGUAGUGGCUUACCAAGGCUUUGACGGGUAGCCGGCCUGAGAGGGUGACCGGCCACAUUGGGACUGAGGUACGGCCCAGACUCCUACGGGAGGCAGCAGUGGGGAAUCUUGCACAAUGGGCGGAAGCCUGAUGCAGCAACGCCGCGUGCGGGAUAACGGCCUUCGGGUUGUAAACCGCUUUCGCCUGUAACGAAGCGUGAGUGACGGUAAUGGGUAAAGAAGCACCGGCUAACUACGUG
rnacentral:rRNA from 1 species